rnacentral:rRNA from 1 species
UACGGAGGGAGCUAGCGUUAUUCGGAAUUACUGGGCGUAAAGCGCACGUAGGCGGCUUUGUAAGUUAGAGGUGAAAGCCUGGAGCUCAACUCCAGAAUUGCCUUUGAUACUGCAUGGCUUGAAUCCAGGAGAGGUGAGUGGAAUUCCGAGUGUAGAGGUGAAAUUCGUAGAUAUUCGGAAGAACACCAGUGGCGAAGGCGGCUCACUGGACUGGUAUUGACGCUGAGGUGCGAAAGCGUGGGGAGCAAACAGGG